rnacentral:rRNA from 1 species
CUGGCGGCAGGCCUAACACAUGCAAGUCGAGCGAGACCUUCGGGUCUAGCGGCGGACGGGUUAGUAACGCGUGGGAACGUACCCUUUUCUACGGAAUAGCCUUUGGAAACGAAGAGUAAUACCGUAUACGCCCUUUGGGGGAAAGAUUUAUCGGAGAAGGAUCGGCCCGCGUUAGAUUAGAUAGUUGGUGGGGUAACGGCCUACCAAGUCUACGAUCUAUAGCUGGUUUUAGAGGAUGAUCAGCAACACUGGGACUGAGACACGGCCCAGACUCCUACGGGAGGCAGCAGUGGGGAAUCUUAGACAAUGGGCGCAAGCCUGAUCUAGCCAUGCCGCGUGAGUGAUGAAGGCCUUAGGGUCGUAAAGCUCUUUCGCCUGUGAUGAUAAUGACAGUAGCAGGUAAAGAAACCCCGGCUAACUCCGUGCCAGCAGCCGCGGUAAUACGGAGGGGGUUAGCGUUGUUCGGAAUUACUGGGCGUAAAGCGCACGUAGGCGGAUUGGAAAGUUGGGGGUGAAAUCCCGGGGCUCAACCCCGGAACUGCCUCCAAAACUAUCAGUCUAGAGUUCGAGAGAGGUGAGUGGAAUUCCAAGUGUAGAGGUGAAAUUCGUAGAUAUUUGGAGGAACACCAGUGGCGAAGGCGGCUCACUGGCUCGAUACUGACGCUGAGGUACGAAAGUGUGGGGGAGCAAACAGGAUUAGAUACCCUGGUAGUCCACACCGUAAACGAUGAAUGCCAGACGUCAGCAAGCCUGCUUGUUGGUGUCACACCUAACGGAUUAAGCAUUCC